rnacentral:lncRNA from 1 species
CACGUCAGCAGGCUCCGCCCACCCAGGCGCCACGUGGCACAUCAACCCCGCCACCAUGCAUGGCGGGGUGCAGUGAUUUUGCCCCGCCAUGCAUGGUGGCGGGGCCAAACGGCCUAGAUUUGAAAAAUCUUUGCAAACCGGCUAAAAUUGAAAUUUGUUUUAAAAAUGGGCUAAAAAUAAAAAAAAAAUUCCUCCUUGACGUCGUGGCUCACAGUUGUAUGCCCCUCCUUGGUGAUCGUGCCCUCCCUCCUAGAGGCCACGUCCUGAUAAGAGCAAGGUUAAUAAUUUAGCCAGCUGAAGGCUGUAACAGGUGACAUGUCAUAUAAAGCUCGUAACAUAUAGCCAGCUAGUAUUAUAGAGUAACUCAUGAGUUGACUGCAUUAGCAUAUAAACAUUUAUUGCCUAGUACAUGUGUGCACACGAGAUUUGGGAGGGGCAGCACAGCGCCAGCUCUUCCCCCUGCUAUGGGCUGCAUGCCGACGUUUUGUCCUCGAUCAAUGCGUUCAGCCCGGCGAAGAGAUAAACGGCGGCUUUCUUCUCUCUCUUAUUUUCUCCCUCCUCCACGUGAGCUUGUUCUGACGUGGUGUUCCUUCUCGCCGGCUGAAUCAGCCUUACUAUACAUGCUCUAAGGCCAGUCUCAAUGGUCUAUUUCAAUGCACUGUUUCCAAAACAAAUCUGCUGACAGAGCAUCAAUGAAACAAACAAUGAAACAACCUCCACAAUGCAUGAGUUUCACCUUGAUGUUUCCUAGACUGGGCAAAACAUUUAAUUACUGCAAAAUGAUUGGAUCACAUGCAAGAUGGUGAAACGAUUUAGUCCUCAGUGGGGAUUUCAUCCUGUUUCACCGCGUGGGAAACAACGCCAACAGAGUUUCACCAUGGUGAAACUACUUCCUUCUCUCUCCUCUUCGUUUCAUGCAAAAAGUACAGUUUUGCUGACAUGGCGCUCUAAUAAAUGUACAUGACAUUCUGAUGAAACCCCCACUGAGACUGGCCUAAGGCCGUGCCUCCGAUGACCACAAGCCCUCCUAGGCUAGGGGCAAACCUCACAUCAUGACACAGUAGGACCAUUAGCAUGGAUCGGGUGUAGGUGAAACCAUUAUUUUUAUAUCCAUCUCAUCCCAAACUCAUGUGAGAGCAGGUUUUCAAGAGAUCCAUGAGUAAAACCAUUUUUUUACCCCAUUUUACAUAAGGGACCGGCUCAAAACAACUUUUGAAGCCGGUCAAGAAGUUGUACCAAACGGUAGCUUAUUGCACCUAUGUCAUAAUAUUUUUAGAUAUUAGUAACUAAGAAAUAUUUAUUUAUAAUAAAAUAAAAAAUCCAAAGAUCAGCUAGGCGCUAGGCGGAAUCUAGGCGCUGACCCUCCACCUAGCGCCUAGUCGGGAGUAAUCGCGCCUAGGCGUUCCUAGGCGUUUUGCUAGACGGUGACUAAUACAUGUAUAAACAUUUAAAAGAAAAAGAAAAAACAAUAGAUAAGUAGUAGUAAUGGAAGGGAGAAAGAAUAGAAGGCCCAUUUAAUGGCCCACUUUAGCCCAACUCUCUCAUCCCGCAUUGCCCCCUUGACCCCGUCUGCCCGCAAGCCACAUCGCGAGUCGCGACUCUGCCCGCCGCCGCCCUCUCCCGCUGCUCCCUCUCUCCGCGCACGUCGUCGCCCGCGCUGCUCCUCCCCGCCGGCGACUGUCUCCUCCUCGCGCCCGCGGCCUCGCCGCCGUCUGUGCACGUCCGAAGUUCGGCCGGAUGCUCUCCACCCCCAC